GGGGGCGAUCGGUAUCGACGAGAUACGAGACAUGUUGAAUUGCAUGCGGAGGAUGACAGUCUCCUCCUUAAUCACCUGUCAUACCUAUAAAUGCCGAUAACGGCUACAUGGCUGCAGCUUAAGUCUAGCAGCUCGUUCCAGAUUAGAUUAGUCUAUGGUCUGAUCUAGGAGCGUCAUUUACAUAGGCUAGUCUCAAAUUUGUCUGCGAAUUUGAGAUGAAAUCUUAGCAGGCUGGUUUGUGCUUAUUUUUGUCUCUGAUAUAAGUUCAAAUAAGAUAUUAAUUGGAUGACUAAGCAUGUAGAUGAUCUUCAUCACUCUAUUUUGGACGGGAGUUCGAUUCUCCCCGCCUCCACAA
rnacentral:tmRNA from 1 species